UAUUGUUGUUUAUUUACAAGAAAAAUAAUUAUUACUAACGUAAAUUUUCGUCAUGGGUAGGAAGCUUCUACGAAGCUUCACCGGCAUUAAUUCGGUUAAACCCACCUUCUCAUUAAUUUCCUCCAUAAAUAACCUUUCAAAAACACAGAAACGACCCACCCUGUACCCUUUCCCUGUCGAUCGCUUCUUCUUUCAAAAAAAGAAAAAAAAAACAAGAAAAUGAUGUGGUAGUAAUUUUUGUCAUGCUCAGCCUGGUCGCCGCCGUGGACGAGGUCCUGGAAUUUUCGCGGUGGCUCGUGAGCCAUGGAAAAUCACUACCAACAUCAUUUUCUUGUUUUGUUUUUUCUUUAGCUCCCCGAAGUCGAAGACUCCUAGGAGGGUGCCAUGGCCGAGGGGGCCUUCGCGGGAUUCCCCAAGCAAAUUAGAAGGCACCUUUGCCGUUUAUCGAGGAGAUUUUCCUCGUAAUUUAGCAAGGCCGUGACUCCGAGGUGCGGCGGCCUAUUAAUGAAGUCCUCGCCGGAAGUCGGAUGGUAGAAGAAGCACACCCGGUGCUGAUCUGCGUGGGUCCCAAUUAAGAGUUGAGCGUGACACAGAUUUAUAAAAUUUCAAUAACAAUUUGGGUUUAACAUAUUAAUCGACAUUUCAAUUUUUAAGGAAAUAAACUUUGCCUCUGUUGUAUGUAAACCCUCUUUAUUGCCACCGUAAGAAAAAGGAGGGUUCGUCAUA